CACCUCUCAGAUCAGUUGAUCGGCGCCUCUUAUCCUGUGUGUUCGCACCGCUCCUGGCCACGAGUGUCCCCUGCCAGCAGGCUGUGUGAGUACUCAGCCUUUGGCCAACCUUGCAUCGGGCUUCCUCUUCUGUGCUACCGCCUCCUCUUCUGUGCUACCGUGCUGCUAUUCAACACCAAGUCGUGUUCAAACCAGACCUAUGGUACUUGGAACUUGAGCCAACCAAUCAGACACCUCUUAGAUCAGUUGAUCUGCGCCUCUUAUCCUGUGUCUCUACGCACCGCUCCUGCCCACGAGUGUUCCUCGCCAGCAGGACAUCUGAGUGUUCAGCCUUUGGCCAGCCUUCCGUCGUUCCUCCUCUUCUGUGCCACCGCCAGUAUCUAAAACACCCGUGCCGCUCCUCAACACCAAGGCAGGAAUACAAAAGCAUGAAGAGGCUACCUACAAAAGGCCAGUUGACCUACACAAGGCUGCAUUAGUGAAGGCAUGGCUAGGAGAAGGUGUCAUUACCGUGUGAUUCAUGAUGGGAACACUCGUGAUCACCAGCCUCGGGUGGAGAACGGGAGUGAGAACGGCGCUUUCUUGGUGACCGGGAUCUGUGCCUUCUUGAGCUGGGUGACCGGGAGCGACUGCGGUGCCGAGACCUUUGGAAGAAACCAGACACUGUAGACCAAACAUCAGGAAAAAAUAAAAAUAGGUUAAGAGAUAAAUAUGCAACAGAAAAGAGCUGUAGAACUGACCUUCCUCAUCAUCUUAUGGCGGUAGUGGGCUACUUGGCGGUGGAUGGAGUAACCAGGCUUGAGAGAGCGCAGGCCUUGCUCCAGCUCAUCCUGGUAUUGCAACACCCGGAUUUCCACUUCACGCAGCCUUGCCCGCCGCUCCUCACUCACAUCACUGCAGGGAAAACGUGUCCAAAAACAUGAAGCUUUCAGGCCAAUCAUCAUCCUACUUCACCACCAACUCAACCAAAUCAUUAUCAUAAGUACAUACAAUCACAUUAUCACAGUGAGUAGAGGACAAGGUUGACUCAACAAACAAAAGCUAUCAGACAAUGAGGAAAAGUGCCACUCAACUGAAUGGAAGUAUAAAAUCUUUACAAAUCAUGAGCAAGAAAUCAACACUCAAUUUUAGAAUGCAAAAGUGUAAAAAGAUGAGACCACAUAGUUGAUUAUUAUUGCAACAUGAUUACUGCAGCAGUAGCCAAAGCACCUAAAUUAUCAUUCUUGCAAUAUGAUACAGAAGAAUGAUUGUGCAAGCCAAUAAAGAAAUCAAAUACAAGUUAA